rnacentral:rRNA from 1 species
GACGUAGGAGGCGAGCGUUGUCCGGAUUCAUUGGGCGUAAAGAGCGCGCAGGCGGUCGUUCAAGUCGCGUGUGAAAGCCCCCGGCUCAACUGGGGAGGGUCACGCGAUACUGAUCGACUCGAAGGCAGGAGAGGGUAGUGGAAUUCCCGGUGUAGUGGUGAAAUGCGUAGAUAUCGGGAGGAACACCAGUGGCGAAGGCGACUACCUGGCCUGUUCUUGACGCUGAGGCGCGAAAGCUAGGGGAGCAAACGGG